rnacentral:tRNA from 1 species
UGGGGUUGGGCUCAGCGGUAGAGUGCUCGCCUAGCACAUGUGAGGCCCUGUGUUUGAUUCUCAGCACCACAU